AUUGAACGCUGGCGGCAGGCUUAACACAUGCAAGUCGAGCGGGGUGAUGGUGCUUGCACUAUCACUUAGCGGCGGACGGGUGAGUAAUGCUUAGGAAUCUGCCUAUUAGUGGGGGACAACAUCUCGAAAGGGAUGCUAAUACCGCAUACGUCCUACGGGAGAAAGCAGGGGAUCACUUGUGACCUUGCGCUAAUAGAUGAGCCUAAGUCGGAUUAGCUAGUUGGUGGGGUAAAGGCCUACCAAGGCGACGAUCUGUAGCGGGUCUGAGAGGAUGAUCCGCCACACUGGGACUGAGGCAGGGCCCAGCCUCCUACGGGAGGCAGCAGUGGGGAAUAUUGGACAAGGGGGGGAACCCUGAUCCAGCCAUGCCGCGUGUGUGAAGAAGGCCUUAUGGUUGUAAAGCACUUUAAGCGAGGAGGAGGCUCUUUUGGUUAAUACCCAAGAUGAGUGGACGUUACUCGCAGAAUAAGCACCGGCUAACUCUGUGCCAGCAGCCGCCGUAA
rnacentral:rRNA from 1 species